rnacentral:rRNA from 1 species
GAAUCAAUUUAAUGAUCAUGCCGUUGGUAUGCAUUGUUAUAAUUGGUUUCUCACCUUCUAAAGAACUGUAAUGCCAUUAAUUUGGUGUCAUGGGAAAUUAGAACUGUUACCUUGAAAAAAUUAGAGUGUUUAAAGCAGGCUCACGCUUGAAUACAUUAGCAUGGAAUAAUAAAAUAGGACAUCUGAUUCUAUUUUGUUAGUUUCUAGGAUUGAUGUA